AGAACAUUUCAACUGACUAGAGCUGACAAGGACUUGGUAUCAAAACCACAAUUUGAUGUUGAGACUUGGUGUAUUCUCUUGAACGACAAGGUUCCAUUCAGGAUGCAAUGGCCACGGUAUACAGACCUGCAGGUCAAUGGUGUUCCUGUUCGUGCAACUAACAGACCUGGUUCACAGUUGCUUGGGGCUAAUGGUC